UCGCUUUUGUGCUGAUGCGUUUGCUUCUGCUGUAUGAAAAGCCAGAGAGAGAUGUUUUUGUUUAUAUGACAGAAAACUUGAUUCCUAAGCAAGCUCUGGUGCUUUUUAUCCCUUUGCUGAUUACUAUGUUAUCAAAACCCAAUAGAAAUUAGCUUUGGCCUUUUUUCCCGUGGAUUAGGUAAAGUUCUUUGGUUAUCAUUAUCAAGUUCUUGUGAUUACAAACUAUGAAGUUAAAUAAAUUAAAACACACUAUGAUCUCUGAAAUCAACCUGUUCUUGCAUUUUUCUGUUGUAGAAGACCAUUUUAUAAGUGUUACUCGUGGACUAUUAUACUUUAUAAUGACUUAUUUGAUACGUCUCUUAAAUAAAUUCGUAGAGGAGACACUCCACUAGCUAACAAAUAUAAUGAUCAUUUUCCACUCACAUAUUAGCAAAUAUAAUGAUCAGCUAGAGGGACGAGUUAACAAAUUUCAAAAGGAUUUUCAGCUUCUAUACUGCCCCAAGACACAUUCCACUAUUUUACAAGAAGUCAUUCUAAAAGAUACUUGGUGAAAAGUGAAUUUUGAGCGUUUGGAUUUAUACUUUUAUUUAAAUGAAAAUUUUAAAAGAUGCAACAAAAUCUUUGACUAACGAUGAUUCAAUUAUCAAGUUCAAUAACAGCAUCUGAAAGUUUGAAGAUCAGACACUUGUGUUAUUCAAUAACCUUGACUCGUUCAUGGAGAGAGAGAGACGCAAUACUUCUGUUUCCUUUGUUUCUUCUCAAAUAGCACUUGGCAUCAAAUCUUCUCACUUCAUUACAAACAUGAGAGUCGUAGGUGUAGUUAGUCUGAUCCAACAGACCUUCGAUCUCUUCUUGUUCUCCAGCUUUUCUUUUCUUGAAAAACACAAAAAUGUUCUGACUUUGAGAGAAAAGCAUUUUUGUAAUUUAAGGAAGUGUUAGUGUUUCAAGCAUGAAUUGAAUCGGU
rnacentral:lncRNA from 1 species